rnacentral:lncRNA from 1 species
UGGGGGUUUUCUAUUAUGGGGUGACCCUGGGGUUCUCUAUUAUCGAGGUGACGCUGGGGUUUUCUGUUAUCAGGGUGACCCUGGGGUUUUCUAUUAUCGGGGUGACCCUGGGAUUUUCUAUUAUUGGGGUGACCCUGGGGUUCUCUAUUAUCGAGGUGACGCUGGGGUUCUCUGUUAUCAGGGUGACCCUGGGGUUUUCUAUUAUCGGGGUGACCCUGGGAUUUUCUAUUAUUGGGGUGACCCUGGGGUUCUCUAUUAUCGAGGUGACGCUGGGGUUUUCUAUUAUCAGGGUGACACUGGGGUUUUCUAUUAUGGGGUGACCCUGGGGUUUUCUAUUAUCGAGGUGACCCUGGCUCCCGUGGCAAAUGCUGUCCCCAGUAGCACGUGGGGCUCUUCAGCUUACCUGAGCGCCGCGUCUCCAUGGGCGGCAAUUUCUCGGAGGCCUGGCACGGCGGCACCGGAAGCAGGGUCGACCAGGGAGCACAGAGCCCUGAACAUCCCUUCAACAGCGUGCCACACACUCCCGGCACAAACUCCAGACCACGGCACAGCACCCAGACGGCUGCAGCCACGCAGAAACCCACAACUGCCAGGACCGUGGGGUGACAGCCACGGUGGGCUCUGCAGGCCCCUCUGGUCUAAGACACCAGGAGGCCACAUCCAGCAACCAAGGCCACCGGGCAGGACACGUCAGGAUGGAGGUGCAGUGAAGACUGCGGUGGACGCCUCCAGAAGGUUCCCACGUGGUGUCCAGUGGAGCCUCUGCCAAACCCGGCCUGUGCAAGGGCAGAGACAAGGCCCAGCAGGGCUCGAGCAGGCCCAAACGCACGACGCAGCUGCUGUGCCUGGGUCUGAGCUGCACCCACAGUUUUCCUGGCGUCUUGUCCUCUGGAUGGGCCUCUGGAUGAACAUAAACUCCAGGGAGGCUGCAUAGAAUAUGCAGCUCUUCUUUAACACUCCCUAGAGGAAGAAAGCCCCUCAGCAGGAAGUAUUGUUGACGUCGCCGCCACUACUAAUGAAAUAUUUACUGAAAAGCCAAAGCGAAACAUUUUUCUAGUUAAUUAAAACAGUGCAUCUUUCAAGCAAGCUCCCUCGAGGGGCCAGGCUAGGACGGACCCAGCGGGCAGGCAGCCCGAGGUGCUCCUGAGUGGGGUCUCGACUGGGAAGGGGGCGCCCAGGACGCAGGUGGGGUUCCUGCUGCACGACACUGAGGGGUGGGGGGACAGACGCUGCAGAGACCCUGCGAAAGGCCCCUCCCGAUGGGUAAACUCACACUUGGUACGCGCUGGCAGGGGCAUCUGGGCCUGCACUCUGGAAUUGGUGGUGGUCCCGGGAAGGUUUUUUGGGCCAGGGACAAGAGUACUUGGGUUUGCUUUCUGGAAAAAUGAAAAAAGAGAAGUUUCUGUGUUCUCUCAGCUGUGUUAAACGCUGGCAGAAGUUGCCUCUCGGACCCUCCGCAGGGCUAUGACAGGCUGGAGAAGUGGGGGCUCGGGAGGGAGCUCAAACAGCCUGCAGACUCCGCCGCAGAGUCCGCACCCCUGGAAGGAGGCGUCGGGGAAGGCACUGCAUCCACGCAUGGCUUCGAGGGCAGGAGGCAGGUUGCACAGCGAGGGGUCACAGGCUCCUCCGUCCCAGGUGGGACUGGGCGAUCCCAGACAUGUGUGCUGUGGCCUCUGGGCCUCAUGCAGAGAGCAGAUGCCAGGGCCUGCAACUCUGACCUCUGAGCACACAGGCCGGCCUCAGGGAAGGGUUGUUCUGGCUGUGGGAACCUGAACUCAAAAUGGCCUCCGUUCGCUGCAGACACUGCCCGCCUGCGCCGGGGACUCAGCCCAGGCAGCUUUGCACACACCUCAGCACCACCCACCCUCAGGCCUCAGCCGCGCUACCCAGCGGGCGCUUUUGCCCAGAACGCCUGCUCAGAACACCGUGAGCCACUGCCCGGCGCUGAGCCGGGGCCUCCAGAACGUGAACCAAGCGGCUGCAGCCCAGGCCCAGGGCCACCGGCAUCACCCCAUGGCAGCUGCAGGACCUGGAGCGGGCAGGGUCCAGGCCAGGGAGCGGGGUAGCCCUCACCCAGGAACUCUGCCCCAGGGGGUCUCUUCCUAAAAGUGCUGGAGUUGAUGGAUCUGGUUAGAGCAGCAGAGCCCAGCUCACGGCUCUCCAGGAGUCUGGGGCCCUCAGUGAGGUCUGUCGAUGGGGACUAGGAACUGGGGAGAGUCAGGUGGAAGGGAAUGUUCCAGAAUGCCUAUUUGAGAGACUCAGAACAAACGUGUUUCUUGUCCUUUGUGCCGUGGCCGGGCAUCGUGGAGAAGCUGCAUCCAGGGCGGGCCCAGCCAGGCAGCGCCUGCCUCCCCACUGCCAGCCCCUGAGAUGGUCUCAUCCGCUGGGCGAGCAGGCCAGGGCUGCCCGUCUCCACCUUUGUGCUGGACCAUUUACAAUCAAAGUGCAGCAUCGAGAUACCCAGGAAAGAGCCAGGAACAGGCCAGGAAGCUGCUGCCCCACCACUGACCCCGCCGCUCUCCUUCCCUCCUUCCUUCCCGCUGGGCCGGGCACAGGUGGAGCUCACCGUCGUCCCCCUUCAUCCCUCGGCCCCUCCAAGGCUCAAGGACUGGAGGCCGACUGGGCAGCAGACACGUCACCAUCACCACACUCCCCGUCACCACGCUCCCCCUCACCACGCUCCCCGUCGCCACAGUCCCCGUGACCACGCUCCCCGUUGCCACGGUCCCCGUCACCACACUCCCCGUCACCACACUCCCUAUCGCCACACUCCCUCUCGCCACGCUCCCUGUCGCCAUGCUCCCUCUCGCCACGCUCCCCGUCGCCACGCUCCCCCUCACCACGCUCCCCGUCGCCACGCUCCCUGUCGCCACAGUCCCUGUCGCCACGCUCCCUGCGGGUCUCCCCAUCCCCCGUGCAGCUGAGGGGGCCGCGUGCGGUUCUCUGAGUCUUUGGAAUGUGCAGGCACCUGUGAGGCAACGCCACCUUGGAAAAAUUUGCACGGUUCUGGCCGGGGCUGCCAGCCUCCAAGGACAUCUUGAGGCCAGCAAGGAGGGGUCCAACCAUUUCUCAUGUAUGGCCACACACCACUUCCGUUCACAGAGACCCCAGCCACUCCGGGCGCCAGGUGCUGACGUGCCACAUGGGCAUCUAGUAGACACGGAUGCCGUAUGGGGGUCUGGUAGACACGGAUACCGUAUGGGGGUCUAGUGGACACAGAUGC